ACCGCGGAAGGAGGAAGAAGAAGAAGUGUGGCGUGGGAGAGGGGCCUGUGAGGGAGAGGUGAGGUCGUGUGUGAGUGGGGGCGCAUGGGAGAGAUUAGGCUGCGGGAGGAGAGGAAGGAAUGAGUGCGGUGUGUGUGAGUGUGGUCUGUGAGGGAGAGAAGAUGUGGUGCGUGAAUGGGGGCGUAUAGAGAAGGCUAGGCCGCGGGAGGAGAGAAAUGAAGGAGUAC
rnacentral:lncRNA from 1 species